GAGGGUGUAGCUCAAGUGGUAGAGCGCAUGCUUAGCAUGCAUGAGGUCCUGGGUUCAAUCCCCUCCUCU
rnacentral:tRNA from 1 species